rnacentral:lncRNA from 1 species
UGUCAGGGUGUUUUAUUUUAUUUUAAUUUGGUAACAUAAUUUCUGUUUCACCUUGUGAAACCAGGAAUUUAAAUUGAGUCUUCAGAGACACAGCCAUCCAUAUAAGUAUUGGCAGCAGUCAAGACAUGAGAAGAAGGAUACUUUCCUCUUCACCGAAAUUGAUCUGAGCAACAGGGCAUACAGUAAAAUUAAACAGA